rnacentral:lncRNA from 1 species
UGAGCUGCAGCACAUGCAUACACUGUGUGUAACAACCUAAUAACCGUGUAAUAAUGUGUAACACUCUAAUAACCUAAAGGUAAAAAGGAAAUCCCUGAUUUGACUUUUGCAAUAUAUUCUAACACCCCUCCUCAGCUUGAUGGGGAGGCGGGUCAUCAAGCUGGACUAGUUGAACUGAUGAAGAACAGAGAGAGUGAAAUUGAACACGAAGCUAAGCUAAAGGAGCACGAUGGAGCUUGAGGAACAAACCCGAGGUCGCAACCUGGCUCUGAUACCAUGAAAGCUUAGAGCAAGCUUGAAGAAACUGAGAGAAAAGAGAGAGAGAGAGAAAUAGAAACUCUCUGUAUAUAUGAGACGUAAUUGACUAGCUUAGUUACAAUGAGAAUAGGUCAAGGUAUAUAUAGGAAGCCUAAUUAACCAACUAAGUAACAGAGACUACUAUCUUUUAGCCACAUGACAAGAUGAGCUGCAGCACAUGCAUACACUGUGUGUAACAACCUAAUAACCGUGUAAUAAUGU